UUGGACCCUUGCAAAAUUUAACCGAUUCAACGAAGCGACUUUCAAGGCGCUAAGAAAAAUAGUAAACAUAGCGAUAAAAUUAUAAAAAAUUGGAGAAUUGUAGCAAAUUUAAUGUAGAUUUAAAAUAUAUAAACCAUUAAAGGCUUAAAUUUUUUUCUUUAUGAGUAAAUUAAUUUUUUUGGACCCUUGCAAAAUUUAACCGAUUCAACGAAGCGACUUUCAAGGCGCUAAGAAAAAUAGUAAACAUAGCGAUAAAAUUAUAAAAAAUUGGAGAAUUGUAGCAAAUUUAAUGUAGAUUUAAAAUAUAUAAACCAUUAAAGGCUUAAAUUUUUUUCUUUAUGAGUAAAUUAAUUUUUUUGGACCCUUGCAAAAUUUAACCGAUUCAACGAAGCGACUUUCAAGGCGCUAAGAAAAA